AAACUUGAGAGUUUGAUCCUGGCUCAGAACGAACGCUGGCGGCAUGCCUAACACAUGCAAGUCGAACG
rnacentral:rRNA from 1 species